rnacentral:rRNA from 1 species
CCCUUAGAUGUUCUGGGCCGCACGCGCGCUACACUGAUGCAUUCAACAAGCCUAGCCUUGACCGAGAGGUCCGGGUAAUCUUUGAAACUGCAUCGUGAUGGGGCUAGAUUAUUGCAAUUAUUAAUCUUCAACGAGGAAUGCCUAGUAAGCGUGAUUCAUCAAAUCGCGUUGAUUACGUCCCUGCCCUUUGUACACACCGCCCGUCGCUCCUACCGAUUGAAUGUGUUGGUGAGGAGCUCGGAUUGGCAGCAGUUGGUGGUUCGCCACCGGAUAUUGCUGAGAAGUCCUCCAAACCGCCCCAUUUAGAGGAAGGAGAAGUCGUAACA